UUGAAAGGGAAACGAUUGAAGUCAGUCGUACCUAUGGGUAAUCAGCCUUUUGGGUGUGAUUUUGUGGAGCGUGAUGAGUUAAACGCCUUCAUGCCUGCAUAUUCGUGCACUUUGGGUGUACUUGCCCGUGUGUAAGUUAACAUCAAUUUUGGUGGUCAUAAAAUGGCUGGAGGAAUGUAGCUUCGAUCUUGUAUUGAAGUGUUAUAGCCUUCGGUAGAUGUGACGAUCGGGAUUGAGGAUUGCAACGGAUACCCUUCGGGGCUACCUGUCUGAUCUCUGAUUGUUGCUCUGGUGCCGAAAGCUUGCUUACGGUUAUUAAAGUCGAUGGUCAAUAGGUUAGAAUGGGUUAAAUUCGUUAAG
rnacentral:rRNA from 1 species